rnacentral:rRNA from 1 species
GCUAAACGCGAAGAACCUUACCUACACUUGACAUGCCUCUUUUGGCUUUCAGAGAUGAUUGCCUUCGGUUCGGCCGGGGAGUGCACAGGUGCUGCAUGGCUGUCGUCAGCUCGUGUCGUGAGAUGUUGGGUUAAGUCCCGCAACGAGCGCAACCCUUAUCGUAUGUUGCCAGCAUUUAGUUGGGCACUCGUGCGAGACUGCCGGUGAUAAGCCGGAGGAAGGCGGGGACGACGUCAAGUCAUCAUGGCCCUUACGUGUGGGGCUAGAAACGUGCUACAAUGGGAGUGACAGUGAGCAGCAAGGUCGCGAGGCCAAGCUAAUCUCCAAAAGCUCUCUCAGUUCAGAUUGUAGUCUGCAACUCGACUACAUGAAGUUGGAAUCGCUAGUAAUCGCAAAUCAGCAUGUUGCGGUGAAUACGUUCCCGGGUCUUGUACACACCGGAGUCGGUGGG